AUGUUCCCCAGAUCCCAAAUCCAUAACAUCAGGCUGAUUACGUACUUGGAUGUUCCUGAGGCACUGGGCUCUCUGUCAGUGGCUUAUGUAGGGUCACUGGGCCGUUGGGUCCUUCAGGCAAAGGAAUCAUGCUUCCACCUGUGCCCAUCAUACGGUGACUCAGACAGCUUCUGCUGCAUCUCCUUGGCAAGGUGCAAACGUCUCUCAGAACUGAGGUGCCUGGACAGAAGGGCCUGUAGCUCUGUCCGUUCCACUGAGCCCAUGAGGAUCAUUGACUCUAUAGGAAGAGAAAGAAGAACAAGUAAAGGAAGAAGAGAAGACAAGGUCUCUGUGGAACUGCUCCUAACUUGUUCUGUCUAAGAAGCCCAAGAAACAGACUCCAGGCAUAUCACAGACCAGAUGUCAUCUUGAGGCAUACAUCUGAUUCUUACUGACCUUCCCUACAAGUUCUAGAGCAGCUGUCUUCCACCUGUGUCUGGAGAAGUUCUGAAAACUCUUGGAAGAUUUUCUAUAAAACCAAUAGCAAUGGACAGACCUUCUAAAAGGUAGCUUCUCUUCCUUAACUGAUCUUCCCCUGUAAUUUGCAAAGUCAGUAUAGUACUCCAGGGCACACCUUCCUUUCCGUAAAAGAAACAAUACAUUAUCUAAAAUAUGCCCUCCUUGGCAACCUGUCUCCAUGGUUGACAAGUUGACAUGGGAUGUAUUUUCUGAAAGUAAGAAGAGUAGGAUAUUUGAAGGUAAAAUUGGAAAUGUUAUGAAAUAUUUAGGGAUUAAUAUCGCCUGGAAUUUACAAGAAAUAAUUAAAAUAAACUUGGAUAGAUUAAAAACA
rnacentral:lncRNA from 1 species